AACGAACGCUGGCGGCAUGCCUAACACAUGCAAGUCGAACGAAAACAUCGGGUCUAGUGGCGCACGGGUGCGUAACGCGAGGGAACCUGCCCUUAGGGUCGGAAUAACUCCCCGAAAGGGGUGCUAAUACGGGAUAAUGUCUUCGGACCAAAGAUUUAUCGCCUUUGGAUGGGCCCGCGUUGGAUUAGCUAGUUGGUAGGGUAAAAGCCUACCAAGGCGACGAUCCAUAGCUUGUCUGAGAGGAUGAUCAGCCACACUGGGACUGAGACACGGCCCAGACUCCUACGGGAGGCAGCAGUGGGGAAUAUUGGACCGUGGGCGAAAGCCUGAUCCAGCACUGCCGGGUGAGUGAUGAAGGCCUUAGGGUUGUAAAGCUUUUUUACCCGUGAUGAUCAUGACAGUACCGGGAGAAUAAGCUCCGGCUAACUCCGUG
rnacentral:rRNA from 1 species